rnacentral:rRNA from 1 species
UACGUAGGUGGCAAGCGUUGUCCGGAAUUAUUGGGCGUAAAGCGCGCGCAGGCGGUCCUUUAAGUCUGAUGUGAAAGCCCACGGCUCAACCGUGGAGGGUCAUUGGAAACUGGGGGACUUGAGUGCAGAAGAGGAAAGCGGAAUUCCACGUGUAGCGGUGAAAUGCGUAGAGAUGUGGAGGAACACCAGUGGCGAAGGCGGCUUUCUGGUCUGUAACUGACACUGAGGCGCGAAAGCGUGGGGAGCGAACAGG